GUGAUUUGAUUGAUCUCUUCCCCCCUUUCUAUUGUUUAAAUCAAUUUCUUUCCUCAUUAAUAAAUCUUUAGCCAUUUUGAAGUUGUUAUUCGCUUUGAUCUUUAAUCACCAACUUAUUACUUUAACUUCACUGUAGUACUGAUGAUCUUUAUGUAGGAAUCUCGAUUUUCAGAAAAAUAUAGAAAUCUCCGGUUUAUGAAUAAUAUACAGUUGAAUUGUUUGCUACAUAGCUUGAUGAAGAUUGGCUGCAGCUUUUGGGUUUGAUCUGAAUGUUUGAAGAGAAUUGUAAUUGUUUACAGUGCCCUGAUGUUCAAGAGAUUCUGUUUGUGUUUUAAGGUUCAACUUUAGUGUGCGGAAAUUGUGUCAAGAAUCUCUGUCAUGCUAUUAGAAAUGUAAUGAAUUCUAGGAAUAUGUGGUGUCAAGUUACCUCUAAGCUCAAUUUUUAUUAUUUAUUAUUUAUUUUUCUUCGCAAAUCAAAGUUUAUAUUACCUUUUUCCAUCUCUUUACAUGUUAAAUUUCACGUGUCAUAAUCUUCUUGAUUAUGCUUCUGAUUAUGCUUCUGUAGACUUAAACCAUCAGCUUGGGAUCGCAUGAAAAAGAGGUCAAAACAAGCGGAGUCGGUAGAGGAUAUGGGUCGUUCAAUUUCUAGGACAAAAAAGUAUCUAGCAAAUUUACAUGCUUUUCAUGAUGCAUCCAAGUGUUACUUGUUUGGGUUACCAACAUGACAAUUCAAGUUGCGUACCUAGUAUGUGAUCUUGCAAUAAAUGCUGUUCUGUAAGCGAAUUGUGAUCAGUUGUUGCUUGAAUAGUCUUUUGGAGGUAUUUUGACCUUCUUGUGUUAUGUUGAUGUUACUCCUAUUUUCAUGUGCUGCUAUUGAGAAUCUUUAAUUUAGUGAUGAAUGUGCCAUCUAUAAAUGAAUGCCCUAAAUAUUUUUCAAAUUGCUGUUUUGUUGCAGGAUGUUCUUAGGAAGUGUGAGCAACUACUGCAUCAACCAUGUAAGCUGCCCAGUUCUCGUGAUAAGGGGAACAUGAGCUCCUUUUCUACCGUGUUUGCUGUUGUUGUUCUAGCUUUCGAACUAAGAGUGCAUCUACCAUUGACUGCCAUUGAAGUUCUUGUAUAUAGUCCAUGGUUUUCCCUGCAGUUACCUUCAUUUCGCUGUAUAGAAAUUGCUAUAGCUCCUAGAUUUGAGUUGUAUUGCAAAGUUGUAGAGGUUUUGAAGAGAGUUGGGACCGAGAACUAUUUUCUUUUUCACUCUGCAUAGCGUGUUGUCCGUUUGUAUAUCGGCGCAAAGAUUUGAGCUGUUUAAUUGCUUUAUAGCCUAAAGUUUUUGCUGUUUGCUUCAACAAAUAUGUUGUUUUAUAAGAAUUAACGAUUGAAUAGAAACUCGGAUAUGUUAUUAUAAGGGUCUAGAGUUGAUUAUUCGCAACAGUGUCCAUUAGCAGUGGCUAUACAUAUCCUCGGCAUCUUUGUAGAAUUUAUAUUUAUAUUUAUAUAACCUUCUAAUUGGCUAGCGGACGGUGCUCCAUCCGCAUCUGGCGGAAUGUGGGGCCCAUGGUGGUCUCGCAGCCUGUAGUUGUGGGGCCUGCUGCUAUACAUGAGUAGUUUCUCAUUCAUGGCGCCCACGGUUUUGCUAUCAUUCACUGCGGGUCUUUUCACUAAUUAUAUCUCCUUCAGGCCCUUUGGACUGCUGUCUUUUCCGUUUCUUCAGCGUUCUGCACUCUGCUGAUCUGUCGGUACCUCCUCCGUCUUUACAAGGACGAGUGCGGAGGGGGUUUUUCGUUGUAUCUGCCCGUGCCGAGGUCGGGGCGGCUGUACGACAAUCUCUUCUUGGAUUUUCUUCGACGACUUUUGCUGUCUUUUGUUGGUGGAUCUGCUAUGCUCCUCUGCUACGUGCCCUCCUAGAUAGCGUGUUAUUUCUUAAUUUGUCAUCUAAACUGAACUCAACUGAUUUGCUUUUACAUCUCAAUUUGAUCAGCCUAGUAUAAAAAUAAUUUACAUUCUAUGUACUUCAACCGAGAGAGCCAUGUAUUGGGAGAAAACAAAAGAAAUUGUAGAGUACGUAGAGAUUGAGAAUUGCUUUGUGGAAAGCAAAUGCGUCGCGAGGUUUAUGUAGAAAGUUUGGAGCGUAACUAACAAAAGAGAAAUCCGGAGAAACAACCUGUGCCGGUUCUGUAACCGAGCUCAAAGAAUCCGUUCUGUUUGGUAGUUACAUCACAUCGUGGGCAUGUGUCCGGUUGCUCGAUCUCUCAUUAGUAGCCGUUGACUGUGCCGAAUCACUAGACCUUUAAUUAAGGUGUCGAUGAGAUUUAGCUAUAAUAUUAUUUUUAGUGACACUAUUUAAUCUAUCUCUAUCUAUCUAUCUAUCUAUAUAUCUAUAUCUAUAUUCUAUAUAAUAUAUUAUUUGACACUCCUCCGUACCACGUGGCAUUCUCUUUUUAUUUGACUCUUCGCUUUCUGAAAGGCCACUUUUUUUCAAUUUGACUCUUCACUUUUUGAAGAGCCUCUCUUCCUAAACAUCUCUCUCUCCUCUCUCUCUAAUUUUAUCCAAUGCUCUCUCUCCUCUCUCCCAAAGUUUCUCUCUCUAUUCUCUCUCUACCUAUGCCUUCUCUCUUUCCUUCCCUCCCAAAGUUUCUAUUAAAAUCGGAACGACGAAAAAUAGAUUUAGAAAAUAAUUUAAUACAAGAAAAGAAAAGAUAAAGAAAGAACACACCGAUAUUUACGUAGUUCGGCCAACGGCUUACGUCCACGGGCGAAGACGGAGCAAAUACUUUAUUAAUGUCGAAAAGGAGGAGUACAAAAAAAUCUCUCAAAAGACCAAAACUUAAUUAGAUCCGAAACGCCGCAAAAGCAACUCCAAAAGUGAGUUGGCUCCUCAACCCGUACGGACUCCAAAGUGGCGUUAAUUAGAGCCUCCGCUGAUCCAUGCCUCACUAGGGCUGGCAAACGAGCGAGCCGGCUCGCGUUCGACUCGUGUUCGGCUCGAUAUUAGGCUCGCUCGAGCUCGACUUGAAAUUGAAUGAGCCGAGCUUGAACAAAAUAAAAGGCUCGAAAUUCAUUUCAAGCUGAGCUUGAGUAUUACUCGGCUCGUUCGAAUUAGGCUCGAAAAGCUCGAAAAGCUCGAAUAUAUAUAUAUAUAUAUAUAUAUAUAUAUAUAGAUAUAUAUAGUAUAUUAUAUAUAUAUAUAUACAGCUAUGGUGCUUGUUAAAACACCAAACACUUGGUGCUUGUAGUUUUGUACCGUUAGAUCCACUUCUCGGAUCAUUUCAACCAUUAGAUUAUACUAUUCAACCAACCACAACUCAACCCUAAGGGGCCUACAUCAUUCUAACCGCAUAUUUCUUAAUUCAAUGGCGCUAAAAAUUUACAAGCAUCAAUAACUUUAAUACUUUUAAAGUAUAGGAGCUCUUUAAUAUUAGUUUAUAAAUAUAUAUAUAUAUAUAUAUAAUUAUAUAUAUAUAUAUAUAUAUAUAUAUAUAUAUUAAUAUAUAUAUAUAUAUAUAUAUAUAUAUAAUGUAUUUUAAUUAUAUAUAGGCUUUAAUUUAAUUUGGACUAUUAUUGUUGGCCCAUAAAAUAAAUCCAACAAGUACAACCGUGCAAUUGAGUCCAACUCUAAAUUUACAUAAUACACUCUCUCUUUCAGACUUUCAUUGUUACACAUAACCCUAAAAUAUGAUAAUAUUCAAAUUCUCAAAUCCCUAAUUUUUUUCCCCUCUUUCUCUCUCUCUCUUUCUCUCUCUCUCUCGUUCUCCCUCAGACCCUCACCCACUCAGGCAGUCACCCUAACUCACAUUUCUUGUAAUUAUUUUGUAUUUUGAACUAUUGGACAUGUUACAUCAAAUUGUAGGUAAUGUUAUAUAAAAAUUAAACUAUUGAUUAUAUAAUGUCGAGAAUUUCAAUCGGCUCGUUUAGAGCUCGAGCUUGGCUCGACUCGAAAUUAGGCUCGCUUGAGCUCGGCUCGAAUUAAUCUCAAGCCGAGCUUGAGCCUAGAUUUAGGCUCAAAAUUAAUUUCAAGCCGAAUUUGAGCUGACAUAAGCUCGCUCGAGUUCGGCUCGUUUCCACCCCUAUGCCUUACCGUACGGAACAUGAAUGGCUUGGCUUAAUUAAUUAGACUUGGGUCUAAUUAACAUUGUGGGAUCAUUAGAGCUUGCCUCUAAUUAGAACACGAACCACCAACAACUAAAUUAAUUUUUAUGAUUUUUAAUUUGGUCGCAGCUAGAUUAAUUUGACCGUAGCAUGUAUUUAUAAUACAUGUCUCCUAAAUAGAGUUUAAUUCUAAUUCAAUUAGAAAUUAGAUUCCGACUCAUAAUCCAUAUAUGUCAAAUUAAAUCUAAAUUAUAUCCAAUCCCAAAUAGAUUAGGAUUUAUCCUCAAUUUAGAUAACUACAAAUCUAAAUCGAUAACUAUAAAUCUAAACCAAAUAUAACAGUUUCUCUCUCUACUCUCUCUCUAUCUAUCUAUGCCUUCUCUCAUUCCUUCUCUUUCAAGUUUCUCUCUCUAGUCUCUCUCUCUACCUAUGCCUUUCUCUCUUUUCUUUCAUUGGGUGGCUUGGGCGGCAACAGCAGCGGUCACGGCCGCGGCGAUAACUUGGACGACGUCAGCAGCGGUAACCGCGACAACGUGAGCGGCAUUGACGGCAGCGAUGGCGACUUGGGCAGCGUUAGCGGCGGACACGACGACGGCAACAUCAUACAAAAAAAAAAAAAAAUCGCAAUUUUUUUUUUUUNUCUUCUUCUUUUUUUUCUUUACUUCUUGCCUGACAACAUCGAAUGGCAGCUUAGGCGGUGCCAGCGGCGGCUUGGGCGGCGUCGGCAGUACGCACGACAGUGGGAAGCAGCGUCAGCGGUCAUGGUGGCAGUGGCGGCCGCGGGGACAAUGGCGGUCGCUACAACAACAUCAGCAGCGGUCACGACGGCAACAGCCACCGUUUUCCUUUUCUUUUUUUUUUUCUUUUUUUUUGUUUCUCUUCCACUUAUUCUCUGUAACUCGCUCUUCUUCUUUUUCUUCUUUUUUUUUUUAUCUCUUCUUCCUCCUCUUCCUUCUUCUUCUUCUUCCUCUUCUUCUAUUUGAAAGAUAAUUGAAAAUUUAAUGUCACUAUAAUUUUUUUUCCCUAAAAAAACUAUUUUAUAUGAUUUUAUGUCGAAUCAAACACCUCCUUAAAUAUAUUUUUUUAAAAAUUAAUUAUUUUUUCGCAUAUUUUUUUAUUUUUAUUUAAUUAUUUUUUUUAAAUAUUAUAUUUAUAUUAUCUAUCCACAGCGAAGCGCGGAUCCUACACUAGUUAUAUUUUAUAACACAUCACUAUUACUCAGGAGGAGGAUCAAACAAACUCUCAUGUUAUUUUAUUCAUUACCGGUUAUUACAGGAUCGGAUGUGCUGCUCUAAUCACUCCAAACAUGUUCGUCGACUUAAUUUAGUAAUGCACACAACACUCCCAACUUAAACAAAAUUAUACCAUACAAAACAAAAUUUCAAAUUUGAAGAGGGAGACCGACCGUCCCUACGGCAAGUGGCAAAAUAUUUGGUGGUUGAUAUCCAAGGUCCCAAGUUCGAGUACUAAUUGAUUUACAUUUUCAGCUAAAUUUAUUUUUAAAUAAAAUAAACGAAGCGGGUAGCGUGCUAUCUAUCUCUCCAAAAAAAAAAAAAAUUGAAGAAGGAGAGAUUUAAGUAACCGUAUACAACAAGAAGGGAGGAUUCUAAUCGACUCUAACACUUUACUGUGGAGAUAUAUAAUCAAUAACCAUCUCAUUUUCUUUACGGAAAAAGGCUCAUUCAAUACUUGCCGAUCACUGCAUCUGCAUUCAUGGGACAUACAAAAAGCCCAAACCACAAAGCAAAAGAGUAGGCCGCUCUGAUCCAGUCAGUUUCAGCAACAAUCAUAGAUGGUCCCUCAUCUACUGACUUUUAUCUUACACGUCCACUCUGUAACUGACCUCAUUUUAAUUCAGCAAUGUCUGGGUCAACCUUUUCCGUUGACCAACCCUUAAAAAAAAAAAUUCAAAUACCACCCCUAUUAUUUUGCUUUUUUUUUUUUAUUUUAGUACUAUACGGUUUAAAGUGUAUCAAUUUGAUACUCCGUGAUUACAUUUUUUUUUUCUUUUUUUUAUUACCUUCACUAAUUUAUUUUAAUUAAAUUAGUGACAAAAUUAAAACUAAAAUAUAUUAAAGUAAAUAUUCGAUAAAUUUUGGUGGGUAUUCGAAGUUUUUUAUAUAUAAUUUAACGACCCACUUGAAAUUUUUUAUAUAUAAUUUAACGAAAUGUUAACGGAGGAACUUACGAAAAGAAAAAAAUAAAAUUAUAUAAUAUUAAAUUAAUACAGUUUAAAUUAUUAUAGAAUAUUAAAGUAAAAAAGUGCCGAUCUAUAUAAAUGAUAAGUUUACCAAAAAAAAAAAAAAAAAAAAAAAAGGGUUUGCAAUUUGAACGGAGUGAGGCGCUGUUAGUUACAACUGUAACAGCUAUCGCCUGCGAAAAUAGGCGCCAAGAAAGAGCCACGCGCGAAAAGCGGCCGCACUAUAAAUAAGCCCACUCUCUGAGCUCUUCGAGUAGCUUCUCCUCUCUCUCUCUCUCUCUCUCUUUCUCUCUCUCUCUCUCUCUCUCUCUCUCUCCCCACUAGAUUCUCUCCCUCUCUCCCCGCACCUCUUCCAUGGCGACAAGUAACCUAGGGUGCGUGGUGGUGGCCGUCGACAGCAGAGAGGAGAGCAUGAAGGCCCUCCGCUGGGCCCUCGACAACCUCCGCCUCGGCCCAGCCGCCGCCGGAGCCGCCGCCGCCGAUCCCGGGUUCCUGAUCAUCCUCCACGUCCAACACCCUCUGUCCAUCGCCACGAGCCUCAACCCGGGCUCCAUCCCCUCCGGCGGUCCAAGUAACCCUCCCAAACCCUAGCUCCUUCCCCCCCUCCUCUGAAUCGGAAUCGGAUUAUGUUCCUUUCCUUGUGCUUGGCCUCACCCUUCGUCGAGUACUCUUGAUCCGACUCUUGCUAUGGUGUUGGUGCUUGUUGUGGUGCGGUGUGGCUUUAAGGCGAUGUCGAGGCGCAUCAGCAGCGGACCACGGACGCGAUCUUUAAGCGUGCCCUGGAUAUGUGCGCCGAUAGAAACGUGAGAUCGGAUUCUGUUGAUCAUUAUGUGUUUAGAUUCGUUAGCAUUUGUAUUGUGAUUGAACCUUUCUCUUUUGCGGUAAAUUUUAGGUGACUGUGAGAACCGAAGUGAUGAUCGGCGAUCCGAAGGUCAUGAUCUGCAAGGCCACUGUAACCUUGUACGCCGACUUACUGGUGAUCGGGCGUCAUUCGAUCAGACCGAUCAGUUGGUGAUUUGAUUGAUUUCUUUCCCCCUUUCUGUUGUUUAAAACUUGGUCGUGGAAUCGAUUUCUUUCAUCAUUAAUAAAUUUUCAGCCAUUUUAAAGUUGUUAUUCACUUUGAUUUUUAAUCACGAACUUAUGACUUUAACUUCAAUGUAGUACUGAUGAUCUCUAUGUAGGAAUCUCGAUUUUCAGAAAAAUAUAGGAAUCUCCGGUUUAUGAAUAAUAUACAGUUGAAUUGUUUGCUACAUAGCUUGAUGAAGAUUGGCUGCAGCUUUGGGUUUGAUCUGAACGUUUGAAGAGAAUUGUAAUUGUUUACAGUGCCAUGAUGUUCGAUAGAUUCUGUUUCUGUGUUUAAGGUUCAACUUGAGUGUGCAGAAAUUGUGUCAAGAAUCUCUAUCAUGCUAUUAAAAAUGUAACGAAUUCUAGGAAUAUGUGGUGUAAGUUACCUCUAAGCUCAAUUUUUACUAUUUAUCAUUCAUCUUUCUCUGUAAAUCAAAGUUUAUAUUACCUUUUUCCAUCUAUCUACAUGUUAAAUUUCACAUGUCAUGAUCUUCACUAUCAGCCAUCGCACCCAAUGGAUGGCCAAAAUGUUUAUAUAAAUAGCAUGCUUCAAGGACUUAUUUACUAAAAUGUAUAAUUUAACCUGCUAACAACAAUUCAAGCAAAAGUUUGAACCGGCAUUAUCUUGCAGUUAUGUCUCUGUUAUGUGUGUUGAAGUAUGUCAAGUUGUACUGCUCGUCUUUUCUGAAUGAUGCAGAUCACCUUUCUUCUAGCUUCAAAAUGACCGGAAAAUAUUCCAGCCCUUUGGUGAGGGAAUAUCGUAAGAGGUGAUCUUAAUGGUUCAUAGAGACGGACCGCAUAUGUUUUACUACAUUAUGUGCACCAAGAUUAAGUAAUUUUAAGUUUAGCAAGAUUUGGAUUUUAAGGCCUAUAAUACUUGUUGGUCAUCGGUAACAGGUUUCUUUGGCGUCUUUGCUACAUCAGACCGUAAUUAAGAAUUACCAUCAGAUGAGGAUGUGCUUCACAUAUGGAUCUUCUUUCCAAAUGCAAAUUUAAUUUUUUUCUUUUGCCAUCGUGUUAGAGCUGCCCUACCUUUAAUUUUUUUGCCCUCGAUUGAACUUCAAUUUGAUUGCAGCUCAAAUACAGCUUAGAAAAGAACAAUCCUUUUAAGUGAUACAUUUUUUGCACAUUAGUUGGACCAAACCAAAUGGCGAGGACAAACAAUACAACAUGCUGUAGGCGUUCAUUAAAUCUAGUAGCUAUUUAUAUACUGUUUGUAACUACUUUCCUUUGUAGAGAAUUAAUGAUAUUGUAGUCUACUUGGAGAGCCAGGAAUUUGAUAGUGAGUUAUGUCAAGGAGAGAUUUGUAGUAUGAAAUAAUCCUUCAAUAGAAUUCAUUGUGAAUUGGUGUUAGUUCCAGCAGUAGCAUUUAUGAAAGUGAGAAAAUGUUGUCGGGACUUCAAAAUAAGAGUUUAUCUAGGCUUUAUAGUUGCUCCUAGAAUACUGGUGCUUUUGAUUAUG
rnacentral:lncRNA from 1 species